CCCUUGCCCGUGGUUUUUACCCUAAUUUGUUUAGGGGUUUUCCACGUAAAAUCUGUGCCUCAUUUAUUUUUACUUUCUCAAAUUAUUGUUGCAAUUUGAUCUAUCCCACUUCCGCGGGCGCAACAAUUGAGCACAAGGACUCUCCCCUCAUUUGAGCUGUUGCUCCCACAGUACUGCUGUUGUUCCCUCUAAAAGUGCGCAGAAAGAGAAGAUACUGUAUCAUAAAAAGUAUGAACAACGUCUGGAUGAUAGUACCUGCCACUGCUCAAAUCCUUGUGAACCGUCAGAGUUUAAUUUCUUGAUAGCAACUUUCAUCCUACAGGCAGAGUUAGACGGUGCAAGUGUCUCGUGAUUGAUCCAGCCCUGAAACACUGCUCCAAAACCCCCCGCCCCCAAGAUCAUGUUAGACCUAAAUUUAUUUGUGGCAGCCUUCAUAUCAGCAAAACUAUAAAUCUUCAGAUUUGGUGCAGGCAAGAUUCCUCCAUUCACACAUGUUUUGUUGCUUUCUCCAGUACUCCCUACUAUUGUGAAGUUGCUAUAGCCAACAGUGCUGCUGCUCACAUUAGUUCUGCUGCUUUUGCUUUUUGGUGUCUCUAUUUGCAAAACAUGUUCAACAUAAGCAGUUAUACCCUUUCCAAAACUUUAAAAAAUAUAAUAAUUAUUACGCAGUAUUAUAAAAUAGUUUUGAGUCUUCACUUUUAGCUCCUGAAAUCUGGAGCUGGCUGUAGCCAGAAACUCUGCUUCUUGCCCAAAAUGUAGUAUUGCCAAAGUUAGUUUUUGAUAUCCCUAUAUCCAAAACAUUAAUGUUAAACACAAGUAAUUAUGGAUGUGACCUAAUGACUAAAAACCAAUAAUUUGUAUAUAUAGAUUACCUAUGGAGAAACACAAUAAACAUAACUUAAAAUUUGCUGGUAACAUUUUCAUUUAUCAACAAAAACAACCUAAUUAAGGUUUCUUGAAAGGAAGCAAGGGCAUGAAGAUGUUUGAUUUAUCUUUCUACUUCUACAAAUUACCAAGAAAAAAAACAUCAAACUUCUCAACAACAGAAAUCAAAUCAAGCCAACACUUCUUGUCUGAUCUUCUUCGGUUCUUAAACAACAAAACCAGAAUAUAAAGCAAAAACACACACAGUAACGAUUAAAGAUGUUUUAUAAUUAGCAUAACAAAGAACAGAAACAUGGAAAGAUAUGAAAUUUAUGGAAACCCAAGAAUGGAAAUUGAACAAAAAUUUUAACUAAAGUAGUACCUGGAGCGGAAGAACAAGCUGAGGAGACGUCGGAAGAAGUGGUGGAAGAGUUAGUGUCAGCAGUCUUGGAACCACAAGGACAACAGCAAUUCCCCAUUGAUUCUCUCACGCUACAAUGAUCGUUACACAAAGGGUCAUUGGUUUUUCAAAGGGAAAACAAAACUAUUUGUACUUUUCUUCAAGGUUGGACUUUAUUCAAAGAUGAUGACAAUUAAAAAGGUUGAGAAACAUACAUAGUUUUAGUUAAUUUCAUGGAAUUGCUAAAUUAGUGUCUGAUUCAUGAGUAUGUUGACAUUUCAAAGAUUAAAGAAAUUUCGGACACUUUACAUUCA